CUCAUUUAUUGCCUCCUCGUUUCAAAACAUGUCGCCAGACACUGAAACGCGUGUUAAAGGACUCCUCCGUACCGGUAAUCACCUCCGGCAGCGGUGGAGGUCAAACACUACCAUGCCAGUAUCCACAAGUUCGUCUCCUUCCUCUCUAUUUCGUUGCUCUAUUAACUCUUUCAAACUUCUCCUUCGCAGACCAAAUCGUCGAUAAAUGCGAAUGGAACCUAAGUUAUUGGAAUCAAAGAUUUAUACGGCCACUAGGAGGAAUCGAAACUUCCAUGGUGGCGACAAGAAUCACUCAAACUGAGGAGCUAAAAACGUAUCGGCGAGGACGUGGUUGCGAUGCAAAGGAUUUAAGAAAAGAGUGAAUGAAGCGUACGAAGCUGAUGAAGAUGAGACUAGGAGAGUGAAGAUGGAAUGUUUAUGAAGCCCUCUGAAAAUUAAGUGAGGGUUAGUAUUUGGAAGGAAGGAGCUUCACUUCUCAUUCUGAAAAUUAUGCAGGAUUGUCUUGGUGUGCUCAAAUUAUGGUGUUGCUUGGAAUCAUGGACUGUGUUGAAUAAAAUUGGGAAAUGGGUUGAAGCUUAGAUAUAGGACUGAUGUACCAAUGCAUUUAUGAAGCUUCACUAAGGUUGGUUGGCUAUGACAUUCCGGUGAAAUGCACGAUUCUUAAAGGCGUACCAUGAGGGUGAUGAUGGUUGGCUGCAGAUUGAUGGCCCAAAGUUCCUAAUGGGAUGUAACAUAACUUAUAUUGAAGGUUCAAAUAUAAUGCAACUUUUUGUAUCCAUUUGCUUAAAA